rnacentral:rRNA from 1 species
UACGUAGGUGGCAAGCGUUGUCCGGAUUUACUGGGCGUAAAGAGCGCGCAGGCGGUCGUUCAAGUCGCGUGUGAAAGCCCCCGGCUCAACUGGGGAGGGUCACGCGAUACUGAUCGACUCGAAGGCAGGAGAGGGUAGUGGAAUUCCCGGCGUAGUGGUGAAAUGCGUAGAUAUCGGGAGGAAUACCAGUGGCGAAGGCGACUACCUGGCCUGUUCUUGACGCUGAGGCGCGAAAGCUAGGGGAGCAAACGGG